rnacentral:rRNA from 1 species
GAUGAACGCUGGCGGCGUGCCUAAUACAUGCAAGUCGAGCGAACGGACGAGAAGCUUGCUUCUCUGAUGUUAGCGGCGGACGGGUGAGUAACACGUGGAUAACCUACCUAUAAGACUGGGAUAACUUCGGGAAACCGGAGCUAAUACCGGAUGAUAUUUUGAACCGCAUGGUUCAAAAGUGAAAGACGGUCUUGCUGUCACUUAUAGAUGGAUCCGCGCUGCAUUAGCUAGUUGGUAAGGUAACGGCUUACCAAGGCAACGAUGCAUAGCCGACCUGAGAGGGUGAUCGGCCACACUGGAACUGAGACACGGUCCAGACUCCUACGGGAGGCAGCAGUAGGGAAUCUUCCGCAAUGGGCGAAGGCCUGACGGAGCAACGCCGCGUGAGUGAUGAAGGUCUUCGGAUCGUAAAACUCUGUUAUUAGGGAAGAACAUAUGUGUAAGUAACUGUGCACAUCUUGACGGUACCUAAUCAGAAAGCCACGGCUAACUACGUG